rnacentral:lncRNA from 1 species
AGCUCUUCCCCGGAUUUAAGGUUCUCCUGCCGGCCGCCGGCCGCCGCCGCGUUCUGCUCGACCUACCCCGGCGUCGUAGCACGAGGGGUCGGCGCCCUCGGCGCAGCAGGUUUCGGCCAGCGAGACUAUUUCGCGCACCAGGUGGCUGAUCUCCUCGAAGGUGGCGUUGGAGAACUUCCUGCUGUUCAUGACAAUCGUGCUGGGAGCAAACACAAGGGGGGAGAAAGCCGCGUUUUUACGUGUGGCCUGGCCCCAGGGUGUCCACGUUGCCUUCCUUCCUUCCUUCCGCCGCCGCCCCGACGCCGGAGGGCAGUCCCCUCUGCAGCUGCAUGGAUAUACUGGAUGGCUGUGGGCAGCUAAAACUAACCAUCGCACACGCUUUCUGAUCAACGGGGACAGCAAUAAAAGCAGAAAGGGCAAUUACGUUAAUGGAAAAUACCCAGAAGAUGAAGAUGGGGAAGAAGGAAGCCUGACCGUCUCUUCCCCUCCUGCCGCUAAAGAAACCCCUGGGGCCGAUAACUCAGGAUUUACCCCCCAUGGCCCCUGAUUGGAAAGAGCAGCUCAUCGUUUGCUCUUGCUGCCCAGGCACGUACACGCACAGCCAGUGACGAGGGAGCACCCUCCCCCCCAAAUGUGCCUCCUGACCUGCUGCGUGGAGCAAGGGACACAAGAGGAGGAUGAAGGUCUUCUGCAAACGGACUCAAAAAGCUCUUAGGCUGUUUUGAGACGUGAAGGGACCCACUGGUGGGCCGACCACCUAGGACAAACCUAGGCAGGGGAUAAAUGGCCCAAGCAGGCAACUCCUCCCCGCUUGUCUCACGAGUGGAGAUGCGGCGCGUGGGGAAAGAGCCAUCCCACCCAGCAAUUUAGCCCCGAGCGGCUGGACCAACAGCUGGGCUGAUUCCCCUCUUGAAAUGUGAAGGGGGGUGUGUCAAGAUGAUGAGGCCAAUCUUCUCCGCGGUGCCCAGCAACAGGACAAGAGGCAACAGGCACAAACUGAACCACAGGAAGUUCCAUCUGAACCUGAGGAACAACUUCUUUCCUGGGAGGGUGACAGAGCACUGGAACAGGUUGCCCAGCGAGGUAGUGGAGUCUCCUUCGCUGGAGAUAUUCAAAACCCGUCUGGAUGCCAUCCUGGGCAACAUGCUCUGGAGGACCCUGCUUGAGCAGGGAGGUUGGACUAGAUGAUCUCCAGAGGUCCCUCCCAACCUCAACCAUUCUGUCAUCUAGUUUUCCAGUUUAAAAGCCUGAAUCCAAAUCUAGGCUUCUAUUUCACAGGGGGCAUCCAUUUCUAUAAUAGUCCAA